rnacentral:rRNA from 1 species
UACGGUGGUGGCUAGCGAUGUUCGGAAUUACUGGGCGUAAAGCGCACGUAGGCGGAUGUUUAAGUCGGGGGUGAAAUCCCGGGGCUCAACCCCGGAAUGGCCUUCGAUACUGGACGUCUGGAGGUCGGGAGAGGCGAGUGGAAUUCCGAGUGUAGAGGUGAAUUUCGUAGAUAUUCGGAGGAACACCAGUGGCUAAGGCGGCUCGCUGGCCCGAUACUGACGCUGAGGUGCGAAAGCGUGGGGAGCAAACAGG